UCCCAUUUGGUCUAGCGGUUAGGAUUCCUGGUUUUCACCCAGGUGGCCGGGUUCAACCUCGGUAUGGGAA
rnacentral:tRNA from 1 species